UACGGAGGGUGCAAGCGUUAUCCGGAUUCACUGGGUUUAAAGGGUGCGUAGGUGGGCAGGUAAGUCCGUGGUGAAAUCUCUGAGCUUAACUCAGAAACUGCCGUGGAUACUAUUUGUCUUGAAUAUUAUGGAGGUGAGCGGAAUAUGUCAUGUAGCGGUGAAAUGCUUAGAUAUGACAUAGAACACCAAUUGCGAAGGCAGCUCACUACACAAAGAUUGACACUGAGGCACGAAAGCGUGGGGAUCAAACAGG
rnacentral:rRNA from 1 species